rnacentral:rRNA from 1 species
GACGAACGCUGGCGGCGUGCCUAACACAUGCAAGUCGAACGGAACUGUUUUGAAAGAUUUCUUCGGAAUGAAUUUGAUUUAGUUUAGUGGCGGACGGGUGAGUAACGCGUGAGUAACCUGCCUUCAAGAGGGGAAUAACAUUCUGAAAAGAAUGCUAAUACCGCAUGACAUAUCGGAACCACAUGGUUUUGAUAUCAAAGAUUUUAUCGCUUGAAGAUGGACUCGCGUACGUUUAGUUAGGUGGUGAAGUAACGGCUCACCAAGACCGCGAUCGGUAGCCGGGAGGAGGGGGUGAACGGCCACAGUUGGGAGUGAGACACGGCCCAGACUCCUACGGGAGGCAGCAGUGGGGGAUAGUGCGCAAUGGGGGCAACCCUGACGCAGCAACGGCGCGUGAAGGAUGAAGGUUUUCGGAGUGGAGACUUCUUUUAUUAAGGACGAAAAAUGACGGUACUUAAUGAAUAAGCACCGGCUAACUACGUG